CGUGGGUCUCGCGGGAGCGCGCGGCGGUAUUUAGUGGCCGGCGAGGCGCUGCUCGGUCCUUCUGUCCGCCGGCUGUGGGCGCGGUAAGGUGAAUGCGGCCGCUCUUAGGGGAAACCGCCUACCCUCCGCACGGACGGGCUUUGGGCCUGGGGGAGUGUGUCCCGAGGAAGCGGCGAGCCCUUCAAUGCCCACGAUGUGCAGGAGCCCCGGCGCGGCUGGCCCGGGUAGGCCCAGCGCUGGCGGCCUGCGCUCACCGCCUGGGACGCCCAUGGGUGAGGGACACACCGAGCUCAGCGCUCCUACUGCAGCCUGGGGCUGAGGCCUCACAUAGCAACCUCAUGCUGGAAAUGUUUUAGACAUGGGUAAUCACACCUACAUGUGAAGCCAUGCUCAGGACUUCUUAGGAAUAAAUAAUGUCUUCUACUGGAAGGUAAGUGGGCU
rnacentral:lncRNA from 1 species